ACUGCAUGUCUAGUACUUUGGGGAUGCCCAUUCUCUCCAAGGCUCUCAUAGCCUAACUGCAGAGAAAAGGCUUACAUGUAUGAAAUAUUAAGAUUGUAGAAACCAGCACCUGUGGGACCUCUGAGAGGGUCUGGAAUUAGGGUUCAGAUACCAUCCAUCUGUUAUGUGCUUUGAAGAUGCCACUCCAUCUGUGGGAUUCAAUUUACAUAAACUGAAGACUAUUCUUCUGAGUUGAAGUGAGGAGAGGCAUCUAUCCUCUCCUCCUGCAAAAUUAUUUGAUCUCCUGGAAGCAAAAAGCCCACUAUGAAGUUGUUCUUGCCAUGGACUUCUGGAGGAGCUGACUGUCCUUUGGGAAGCUACAAAUACAGCCUUAAAAUCUGUUAGCAGGGAAGAAAGAGAGGCUUUUUCUGAGUGAUCAGGAAAGAAGAAGCAGAGAGCAUGCAGUGGUUCCAGGAAAAGUAG